GAUUUAAUUGAGUUCCUGUUUCAAUUUUUAUCUUUUGGUCCCAAAUCCAAACUGUCUCCUGGUAUACUUAGACUGCAUAAAACCUCUACUAUUUUAGCGCUAUUUACCCACUGCUGAAUAUGCCAUGUUUAGAGCACUUUUCCUCUAUUUCUGGUAGCAGUUUACAUCACCUUACUUUAUUCUGACUAGUGGUAAUUUUUGACAGUCAGAGGACUUUUUAAAACUUUAUUAGAAAGUCUGAGGGCAUAUUUUCAAACCUUGGCAGUAAGAUUAGAUGAUGGAUCACAAUCUGCUAUUGCCAGUCAGAGCACAGAGCAUCACCUUGUAAUAGUGCCAAGUUGUGACAGCGGCAGGCAGUGUUCCUUGUUUGUAGAAAGUGAUCUCUUGCUGCAUUUUUUUUAAUUUGGGAACAACAUUUUUACAUUUGUAUGGAAUCAAUGGCUGCAAAAUAUUUUUCAACAGCAGAAGUGAAGGCAGUGAGAAGGAAAGAGGCUACUGCUUUGUGCUUACACAUGCAAAGCAGCCCAUGGCUGACAUUUACCCAGAUUUAGACUAGAUCAAGAAGACCAUGACCCAGAAGAAGAACUCAGAACUUGGCUCUAGCCAUGCCUCCCCUGGUUCCAGCAACUUAUUUCCAACAUGACGCAGUCUGAAGACUGGAGUUUGUGGCCCUGUUUGGAGUAACACCAGAGCUGGAGCUGGGAGGAAAGAAGGCAUCACUUGACUGGAGAAGAGCAGUGCAGCAGAGGGAGGAGAGAAGGAGAGAAAAAGAAAUUACUUGUUUUGUAUGCUUGUUAUUACAAUAUAUUUGCAAUAAACACCCUUUAUUUGAACCUGAGACUGUGUUGGUGUGUUCAUAUUUGGGGCUCACUGGUGCCUCCUGGCCUGCACAACAUGCAAUAUUGAUGCUGCAG